AAACCAGCACCUCAAGUGGUCAGGAGGAUUAUUGGGCCUAAAGCAUCCGUAGCCUGUUCUAUAAGUUUCCGGUUAAAUCCAUUAGCUCAACUAAUGGGCUGCCGAAAAUACUGUAGAACUAGGGAGUGGGAGAGGUAGACGGUAUUCGGUAGGAAGGGGUAAAAUCCUUUGAUCUAUUGAGGACCACCUGUGGCGAAGGCGGUCUACCAGAACACGUUCGACGGUGAGGGAUGAAAGCGUGGGGAGCAAACAGGAUUAGAAACCCCAGUAGUCC
rnacentral:rRNA from 1 species